rnacentral:rRNA from 2 species
CCUCGGAUCAGGUAGGGAUACCCGCUGAACUUAAGCAUAUCAAU